rnacentral:misc_RNA from 1 species
UUUAUUUUCUGUACAAUGAAUGAUAUUGUUGACUUUUACAAUCAAUGUCAUGAAAUAAUGUUUACAGACAUCAUGUCCUCAAAAGAUGACGGAAACGAUCGAAGAGUGUACGUAGGAAAUCUACCGCCGGAUAUUCGUUCUAAGGAUAUUCAAGAUUUGUUCCAUAAGUAUGGGGAGAUUGCUUUCAUAGAUCUAAAGAACAGGCGAGGACCUCCAUUUGCUUUUGUCGAGUUUGAAGAACCAAGAGAUGCAGAGGAUGCAGUCCAUGCUAGGGAUGGAUACGAUUAUGAUGGUUACAGGCUUAGAGUUGAGUUCCCGAAGGGAGGAGGAGGCAGUUUCAGGGCUGGAGCUGGAGGUGGACGUAGUGGAGGCAGAGGACCACCUGCUCGUAGAUCCAAAUACAGGGUUCUAGUCACAGGUUUACCCGCGAGUGGGAGCUGGCAGGAUCUCAAGGAUCACAUGAGAGAAGCAGGGGAUGUGUGUUUCUCUGAUACUUUCAAGGACGGUUCCGGAGCUGUAGAAUAUCUCAGAUAUGAGGAUAUGAAGUACGCUUUGAAGAAACUCGAUGAUACAAAAUUCAAAUCUCACGAGGGAGAGACGAGUUAUGUCCGCGUGAAGGAGGAUAUUGGUGGAGGUGACCGUGACCGCGGUUCUGACCGCAGGCGACGUAGUCCUAGCCGGAGCAGAUCAAGGAGUAGGAAGAUGUCUCGAGCCAGCCCGACCUACUCCCCGGUCAGGAGGAGACGGUCCUAUACCAAAUCAAGGUCAAGAUCUGAAUCCAGCAAGAGCAAGAGCAGGAGUCGGAGCAAGAGCAAGAGUAGGAGCAGGAAUGAGAGUAGGAGCAGGAAUAGGAGGAAGAGGAGUGAGACGAGGAGUAGGAGUAAAUCCUAGAUCCCACCCAGGGGCAUACUGAGGAUUGAAAUGACAAGGAUCUUAACAGUCCCCGUCAUAGGAUCAGGAUAUGUUCAUAGGAUCAGGAUCAUGGGACAUGUUUAAUGCUCAUAGGACAUGUUCAUAGGAUCAGGAUCAUAUUUCAGGACACUAGGAUCGCCAGGAUCUUUUCUGUUCCAGUCUUAGGAUCAGGAUUAGUCAAGUGCAGGAUCAAAGAAUUCAUGGACUAUUGUUCAUAAAGUUCUUAGGAUUGGCAGGUUACGAGUUCAUUCGAAUAUAUUGACGAUGAUUGUUCUGAAAUAUUUAUUUUAUCUUGAUUUUAUCUUGACCUGGAUAUAUUUUAUUUAUAGGAUCAGGAUAAUGAGGCAUUAGAUAUUUUCAUAUUAUCAGGAUCAUAGUGUGCCAGGACAAGUUCAAUGUUCAGAGGAUCAGGAUCAUCAAGUGCCAGGAUAUGUUCAGAGGAUCAGGAUCAUAGUACUCCUAGCAAUAUUCAUAGGAUCAGAAUAAUAAUACUUCAAGAUGUUCAUAGGAUCAGAAUACGGAAUCAUAGAACUUUAAGAAAUGUUCAUAGAAUUAGGAUCAUAGUACUUCAAGAUAUGUACAUAGGACCAGAGUCAAAGCACUUCUACACUGCGUUUCAAGUUAUUAUGCAAGUACGUUUUUUUUUAAUUCUGACUCGGAAAUAAAUUUUUCCUGAAGGUU